rnacentral:rRNA from 1 species
AGGCAGCAGUGAGGAAUAUUGGUCAAUGGGCGCGAGCCUGAACCAGCCAAGUCGCGUGAGGGAGGACGGCCCUACGGGUUGUAAACCUCUUUUGCCGGGGAGCAACGGGCGUCACGUGUGGCGCCACUGAGAGUACCCGGAGAAAAAGCAUCGGCUAACUCCGUGCCAGCAGCCGCGGUAAUACGGAGGAUGCGAGCGUUAUCCGGAUUUAUUGGGUUUAAAGGGUGCGUAGGCGGAUCGUUAAGUCAGUGGUCAAAUUGAGGGGCUCAACCCCUUCCCGCCAUUGAAACUGGCGAUCUUGAGUGGAAGAGAAGUAUGCGGAAUGCGUGGUGUAGCGGUGAAAUGCAUAGAUAUCACGCAGAACCCCGAUUGCGAAGGCAGCAUGCCGGCUUCCGACUGACGCUGAAGCACGAAAGCGUGGGGAUCGAACAGGAUUAGAUACCCUGGUAGUCCACGCGGUAAACGAUGAGCGCUAGGUGUCCGGGGGGAAUGGCCCCUGG